rnacentral:rRNA from 1 species
UACGGAAGGCAGCAGUGGGGAAUAUUGCACAAUGGGCGCAAGCCUGAUGCAGCCAUGCCGCGUGUAUGAAAAAGGCCUUCGGGUUGUAAAGUACUUUCAGUCGUGAGGAAGGUGUUAAGGUUAAUAACCUUAGCAAUUGACGUUAGCGACAGAAGAAGCACCGGCUAACUCCGUGCCAGCAGCCGCGGUAAUACGGAGGGUGCGAGCGUUAAUCGGAAUUACUGGGCGUAAAGGGCACGCAGGCGGUUAAUUAAGUUGGAUGUGAAAUCCCCGGGCUUAACCUGGGAAUGGCAUUCAAGCUGGUUAGCUAGAGUCUUGUAGAGGGGGUAGAAUUCCAUGUGUAGCAGUAAAUGCGUAGGGAUGUGGAGGAAUACCGGUGGCGAAGGCGGCCCCUGGACAAAGACUGACGCUCAUGUGCGAAAGCGUGGGGAGCAAACAGGGAUUAGAUACC